GAUGAACGCUGGCGGCGUGCCUAAUACAUGCAAGUCGAGCGAACAGACGAGGAGCUUGCUCCUCUGACGUUAGCGGCGGACGGGUGAGUAACACGUGGAUAACCUCCCUAUCAGACUGGGAUCACUUCGGGAAACCGGAGCUAAUACCGGAUAAUCUAUUGAACCGCAUGGUUCAAUAGUGAAAGACGGUUUUGCUGUCUGUUAUAGCUGGAUCUGCGCCGCAUUAGCUAGUUGGUAAGGUAACGGCUUAUCAAGGCAACGAUGCGUAGCCGACCUGAGAGGGUGAUCGGCCACACUGGAACGGAGACACGGUCCAUACGCCUACGGUAGGCAGCAGUAGGGAAUCGUCCGCAAUGGGCGAAAGCCUUACGGAGCAACGCCGCGUGAGUGAUGAAGGUCUUCGGAGCGUAAAACUCUGUUAUUAGUGAAGAACAAAUGUGUAAGUAACUAUGCACUUCUUGACGGUACCUAAUCAGAAAGCCACGGCUAACUACGUG
rnacentral:rRNA from 1 species